rnacentral:rRNA from 1 species
GACGAACGCUGGCGGCGUGCUUAACACAUGCAAGUCGAACGGAAAGGCCCUGCUUUUGUGGGGUGCUCGAGUGGCGAACGGGUGAGUAACACGUGAGUAACCUGCCCUUGACUUUGGGAUAACUUCAGGAAACUGGGGCUAAUACCGGAUAGGAGCUCCUGCUGCAUGGUGGGGGUUGGAAAGUUUCGGCGGUUGGGGAUGGACUCGCGGCUUAUCAGCUUGUUGGUGGGGUAGUGGCUUACCAAGGCUUUGACGGGUAGCCGGCCUGAGAGGGUGACCGGCCACAUUGGGACUGAGAGACGGCCCAGACUCCUACGGGAGGCAGCAGUGGGGAAUAUUGCACAAUGGGGGGAAGCCUGAUGCAGCAACGCCGCGUGCGGGAUGACGGCCUUCGGGUUGUAAACCGCUUUCGCCUGUGACGAAGCGUGAGUGACGGUAAUGGGUAAAGAAGCACCGGCUAACUACGUG